rnacentral:tRNA from 1 species
GCCAGCAUGGCAUAGUGGUUUAAGUGUUGGACUAGGACUCUGGAGACCAGGGUUCAAAUCCCCACUCAGCCA